AAGUGGGAUGACGUCAAGUCCUCAUGGCCCUUAUAGGUGGGGCUACACACGUCAUACAAUGGCUGGUACAAAGGGUUGCAACCGCAGGGGAGCUAAUCCCACAAAGCCAGUCGUAGUCCGGAUCGUAGUCUGCAACUCGACUACGUGAAGUCGGAAUCGCUAGUAAUCGUGGAUCAGAAUGUCACGGUGAAUACGUUCCCGGGUCUU
rnacentral:rRNA from 1 species